GACGAACGCUGGCAGCGUGCCUAAUACAUGCAAGUAGAACGCUGAAGGAGGAGCUUGCUCUUCUGGAUGAGUUGCGAACGGGUGAGUAACGCGUAGGUAACCUGCCUGGUAGCGGGGGAUAACUAUUGGAAACGAUAGCUAAUACCGCAUAACAGUAGAUGUUGCAUGACAUUUACUUGAAAGGUGCAAUUGCAUCACUACCAGAUGGACCUGCGUUGUAUUAGCUAGUUGGUGGGGUAACGGCUCACCAAGGCGACGAUACAUAGCCGACCUGAGAGGGUGAUCGGCCACACUGGGACUGAGACACGGCCCAGACUCCUACGGGAGGCAGCAGUAGGGAAUCUUCGGCAAUGGACGGAAGUCUGACCGAGCAACGCCGCGUGAGUGAAGAAGGUUUUCGGAUCGUAAAGCUCUGUUGUAAGAGAAGAACGAGUGUGAGAGUGGAAAGUUCACACUGUGACGGUAUCUUACCAGAAAGGGACGGCUAACUACGUG
rnacentral:rRNA from 1 species